rnacentral:rRNA from 1 species
GUGACCUGCGGAGGAUCAUUACCGAGUGAGGGCCCUCUGGGUCCAACCUCCCACCCGUGUUUAUUUUACCUUGUUGCUUCGGCGAGCCUGCCUUUUGGCUGCCGGGGGACAUCUGUCCCCGGGUCCGCGCUCGCCGAAGACACCUUAGAACUCUGUCUGAAGAUUGUAGUCUGAGAUUAAAUAUAAAUUAUUUAAAACUUUCAACAACGGAUCUCUUGGUUCCGGCAUCGAUGAAGAACGCAGCGAAAUGCGAUACGUAAUGUGAAUUGCAGAAUUCAGUGAAUCAUCGAGUCUUUGAACGCACAUUGCGCCCUCUGGUAUUCCGGAGGGCAUGCCUGUCCGAGCGUCAUUGCUGCCCUCAAGCACGGCUUGUGUGUUGGGCUCCGUCCUCCUUCCGGGGGACGGGCCCGAAAGGCCAGCGGCGGCACCGCGUCCGGUCCUCAAGCGUAUGGGGCUUUGUCACCCGCUUUGUAGGACUGGCCGGCGCCUGCCGAUCAACCAAACUUUUUUCCAGGUUGACCUCGGAUCAGGUAGGGAUACCCGCUGAACUUAAGCAUAUCAAUAAGCGGAGGAAAAGAAACCAACAGGGAUUGCCCCAGUAACGGCGAGUGAAGCGGCAAGAGCUCAAAUUUGAAAGCUGGCUCCUUCGGGGUCCGCAUUGUAAUUUGCAGAGGAUGCUUCGGGAGCGGUCCCCAUCUAAGUGCCCUGGAACGGGACGUCAUAGAGGGUGAGAAUCCCGUAUGGGAUGGGGUGUCCGCGCCCGUGUGAAGCUCCUUCGACGAGUCGAGUUGUUUGGGAAUGCAGCUCUAAAUGGGUGGUAAAUUUCAUCUAAAGCUAAAUAUUGGCCGGAGACCGAUAGCGCACAAGUAGAGUGAUCGAAAGAUGAAAAGCACUUUGAAAAGAGAGUUAAAAAGCACGUGAAAUUGUUGAAAGGGAAGCGCUUGCGACCAGACUCGCUCGCGGGGUUCAGCCGGCAUUCGUGCCGGUGUACUUCCCCGCGAGCGGGCCAGCGUCGGUUUGGGCGGUCGGUCAAAGGCCUCUGGAAGGUAACGCCCCCUCGGGGGCGUCUUAUAGCCAGGGGUGCAAUGCGGCCUGCCCGGACCGAGGAACGCGCUCGGCUCGGACGC